rnacentral:tRNA from 7 species
GCCCCUGUAGUUCAAUGGAUAGAACUCCGGACUUCUAAGCCGGGUAUAGAGGUUCGAUUCCUCUCGGGGGCA